AGAUAAUUUGGUUCUGGUUAGGUUUUAGUUUUUGUUGAAUUUUAUACAUGAUUAAUUAUAAAUUAUUGUGAGUAAGACAUAGUAAAUAUAUAAUAUAAAUUAUUAUAAUAUUUAUUAUCAAAUUGAUAUUAAAAUUAUUAAAUAUAUUGAGAAUAGAUCCACAACAUCAGUAUAGAAUACUAGAAAAAGAAUUAAAGUUUGAUCUGGUUAUUACAAAUUAGAGUUGGUUAAUAGUUGUGCCAGCAACUGCGGUUAUACAACAUGACUCAAAUUAAAAUUAUUAGCUAAAAAGAUGGUUAUUAUUUAGAUAAUUAUGUAAAUAGAGCUGCGUAUAUAUGGGUACAAUCUAAGUAGCGCUUAGAAAUUCUAUAAUUUGCGAUAUUUAAUAUAAGAAGCCAUGUAAUUUAAACUAUGAACUGGGAUUAGAUACCCCACUACUUUUUUACUUAAAAUUUAUUUAAUGCUAGGGGACUACGAAUAUUUUAUUUAAAACUCAAAGAACUUGGCGGUAUUUCAAGUCCUUUUAGGGGAACCUGUUCCGUAAUCGAUAUUCCACGUAAAAUCUGGCCUUUUUUGGUAAUAAUUAUCAGCUUGUAUACCGCCGUUAUCAGUUUAUUUUUUAAAAAAUUGGAAUAAACGUAAUUAAUAAUUAAAAGUUAUUAUUUCAGGUCAAGGUGCAGCCUAUAAAGAGGGGUGUAAUGGGUUACAAUUGUUAUUUUCUUUAAUGGAUUAAUAAAUUAUAAUUUAUUUUGAAAUAGGACUUAAUAGUAAAAUUAUAAUAAUAAGGUAAUUUGAAUAAUUAGGCUAUGAAAUGUGUACAAAUCGCCCGUCGCUCUCGUUGAAUUAUUGAAAUGAGAUAAGUCGUAACAUAGUGAAAGUAACGGAAGUUGCUUUCUUAUUAAU
rnacentral:ncRNA from 1 species